UCCAAAUGUAUUUGCAGAGAUUCAGCUGUGGGGAAGCUGCAGAGAAGGCUGCCUGGCACAGCCCCCCAGAAUGGGCCUCCCCCGACUGGGCUCCCGCAGAGGAUGGGGCAGUUGCAGCCCCCUGUCAUUCCUGUGAGAUUUGAGAUCUGUGCUGAGGGUUGGCAGCUCCUGCUGGGGCAAGAGCUGCAUCUUCCAAGAGGCAAAGCUGCAGCAUCUUCCUCCCCAGGGACUGUCUCCAUGCAGGAAGCAGCACAGGGGACUGGCCGAAGGGCUCGGGCUGGGACACGGCCCCAACAGGAGCAGCCCUGGCACACUGACACGGGAGGAUGAGCCCAGGUGAGGAGCACGGGCCCAGCGUGGCACCAAGACAGGCAUCUCCUGUGGGUUAUGUGGGGCUGUGCUGUGCACCCUGGGGGUGCUGACUGACCCCCUUUGUGCCGAGACAGAGGAGAUGCUGCUGCACCACGUCCCCAGGAGAGCCCCUGCCUCCUUCUGCUCUCAGGGAUGGGACUGGGAGACGCCUCCACGCCGAGAGUGGCACUUGGCAUGGCUUCAGUCCCCAGUGGAAGAGGCUGGGCUCCCCGCUGCCCAGAGCUCCUGGUUAGGGACACCCACGCCUGCGCCUGGCUCAGAGUCCAGGGUGCACUCAGUCCGGAUCCAGCCUCGAGAUGUUCCUGCUGCAGCUGCAGGUGUUUCCCAGUCCAGCUUGCUGAACCUCCAGCUCUGACUGUUCUUCCUUCCAGCUCUGGCUCUGAGAUGCUGCACUUGAUGGCUGCUCCAGUUCCUUCCAGCUCUGGGUUGGUUUUUUCAAGCGCCACUACAAGGAGAUGCUGGAGGGCACCAAGACCCCCGGGGUGCCCCAGGACUGAGUGAGAGGAGCCCAAAAAUUUUGGGCACCCCAUCCCCCCAAAAUAUUAAAUUCACAUGGAAGCUUCCCCUGUAUUUGUGUGGAGUUUUUUGAAAUUAUUUUGGAAUUUUUUAGGGGGGGUUUUGGGAAACUGGGGAGGAGGAAACACUAAAAAAUAAAAAAAUAAAUUUAAAAAGGAUU